CCACUAUGCUUAGCCCUAAACAUAGAUAAUUUUACAACAAAAUAAUUCGCCAGAGGACUACUAGCAAUAGCUUAAAACUCAAAGGACUUGGCGGUGCUUUAUAUCCCUCUAGAGGAGCCUGUUCUAUAAUCGAUAAACCCCGAUAAACCUCACCACCCUUUGCUAAUUCAGUCUAUAUACCGCCAUCUUCAGCAAAC
rnacentral:rRNA from 1 species